rnacentral:rRNA from 1 species
AUUGAACGCUGGCGGUAUGCUUAACACAUGCAAGUCGAACGGUAACGAUGGAUAGCUUGCUAUCCAGGCGACGAGUGGCGGACGGGUGAGUAAUACAUAGGAAUCUAUCCAGUAGCUGGGGAUAACGUGUGGAAACGCACGCUAAUACCGAAUACGCACUACGGUGGAAAGAGGGGGAUCUUCGGACCUCUCACUAUUGGCUGAGCCUAUGCCGGAUUAGUUUGUUGGUGGGGUAAUGGCCUACCAAGACUACGAUCCGUAGCUGGUCUGAGAGGACGAUCAGCCACACUGGGACUGAGACACGGCCCAGACUCCUACGGGAGGCAGCAGUGGGGAAUAUUGGACAAUGGGCGCAAGCCUGAUCCAGCAAUACCGCGUGUGUGAAGAAGGCCUGCGGGUUGUAAAGCACUUUCAGUAGGGAAGAAAAGCCAAAGGUUAAUAACCUUAGGUCUUGACGUUACCUACAGAAGAAGCACCGGCUAACUCCG